ensembl:lncRNA novel transcript
CCGGCUUUAGAUAAUAGGGCAGUCUAAUGACUUCUGAAUUCCUCAGAUAAGGAGUUUUGCCUCCAGAUGGUCUGCUUGAUGGCCACCAGGUGAUCUUUGCUGUCCUCAAAAGAACUCUAGACACUGGGUAAUUCAUAGUGGAAAUAAAAGUGUGGACAAAAAUAGUUCUGAAGAAUUACUCUGAACACAGUAAGAAUCUAUGCAUUUGACCCAGGAGAGUUAAAAUGUUAACAUGGAUUCAGCGGUCUCCCCUCCCAUUGUUGCAGCCCUCCAGUAGUCCUAUCAGCUUUAAUCAGGCUAGAACACUUCAUCAUGCAAGUGGUAGCAGAUAAUUAAUAAUUUCUCUGAGUAUUAACUUACAUCUCAAAGUUUUUCUUCCCAGGAAAUUACCUUUCCACACAGUCUGAGAGUCUGGAAGUCAAGUUGGAUGCGGGAGCAUCGUGCCCCCCUAUAGCAUACAGCAGUCCAUUCCAGGUCGUCACUCCUACGCCACCUCUCCUUUUUGACAUCUGUGCACACAGUGUCCACUUAUUAGUAUGAGGAUCAAAACAUUCUACUGAUUUGAGACAAGAACUUCCAUCACGACCACCAACUGCAUAAAGUCUGCAAAAAGAAUAUAUGAAAUGAUAAAUAAGACAUGUGCCAUUAUGCUUAGAACAAAGAGGCUCUUCUUAUGUUGUUAUCUCAUUGAAUUUAAGGUGCCAUCAGUUAUAAAACACACUGUCAAUGUGUGUGUCAUUAAAAAAGUAUGCUAUGUUUGAAAUGACACAUGUAAGUAUCAUAUAUCACUCUGUAUAUACAUGAAAAGGAAAACAAACUGCACAUGAAGGCAGUGACAACUGUUUCAUCACUGCCAUCUCUUUGACAAGUCACCAUUGGUUGUAAUAUGCAUGGAAAUUCAGAGGUGUUAAAAUAUGUCUUAGAAUAGACAAAAUAUGGUGUAUAA